rnacentral:rRNA from 1 species
GAUGAACGCUGGCGGCGUGCCUAAUACAUGCAAGUCGAGCGAACGGACGAGAAGCUUGCUUCUCUGAUGUUAGCGGCGGACGGGUGAGUAACACGUGGAUAACCUACCUAUAAGACUGGGAUAACUUCGGGAAACCGUAUCUAAUACCGGAUAAUAUUUUGAACCGCAUGGUUCAAAAGUGAAAGACGGUCUUGCUGUCACUUAUAGAGGGAUCCGCGCUGCAUUAGCUAGUUGGUAAGGUAACGGCUUACCAAGGCAACGAUGCAUAGCCGACCUGAGAGGGUGAUCGGCCACACUGGAACUGAGACACGGUCCAGACUCCUACGGGAGGCAGCAGUAGGGAAUCUUCCGCAAUGGGCGAAAGCCUGACGGAGCAACGCCGCGUGAGUGAUGAAGGUCUUCGGAUCGUAAAACUCUGUUAUUAGGGAAGAACAUAUGUGUAAGUAACUGUGCACAUCUUGACGGUACCUAAUCAGAAAGCAACGGCUAACUACGUG